UACGGGGGGGGCAAGCGUUGUUCGGAUUUACUGGGCGUACAGGGAGCGUAGGCGGUUGGAUAAGCCCUCCGUGAAAUCUCCAGGCUUAACCUGGAAAGUGCAGAGGGGACUGUUCAGCUAGAGGAUGGGAGAGGAGCGCGGAAUUCCCGGUGUAGCGGUGAAAUGCGUAGAGAUCGGGAGGAAGGCCGGUGGCGAAGGCGGGUCUCUGGGCCGAUACUGACGCUGAGGAGCGAAAGCGUGGGGAGCGAACAGG
rnacentral:rRNA from 1 species